rnacentral:lncRNA from 1 species
GCUGGCUAAAGUACAGGAAAAUACUAUUGCUUCUUUAAGAAAUGCUGCCAGCCAUGGUGCAGCAUUUGUGGAAUUUGAUGUCCACCUUUCAAAGGACUUAGUGCCUGUAGUGUAUCAUGAUCUCACCUGCUGUUUAACUAUGAAAAGGAAAUAUGAAGCUGAUCCAGUUGAAUUGUUUGAAAUCCCAGUAAAGGAAUUAACAUUCGACCAACUCCAGUUAUUGAAGCUUUCUCAUGUGACUGCACUAAAAACCAAAGACCAGAAACAAUGUAUGGCUGAGGAGGAAAAUUCCUUUUCUGAAAACCAACCAUUUCCUUCUCUUAAGAUGGUUUUAGAGUCAUUGCCAGAAAAUGUAGGAUUUAAUAUAGAAAUAAAAUGGAUUUGCCAACACAGGGAUGGAGUAUGGGACGGCAACUUAUCGACAUAUUUUGAUAUGAAUGCAUUUUUGGAUAUAAUUUUAAAAACUGUUUUAGAAAAUUCCGGGAAGAGGAGAAUAGUAUUUUCUUCAUUUGAUGCAGACAUCUGUACAAUGGUUCGGCAGAAACAAAACAAAUAUCCCAUAUUAUUUUUGACCCAAGGAAAGUCUGACAUUUACCCUGAACUCAUGGACCUCAGAUCUCGGACAACACCCAUUGCAAUGAGCUUUGCACAGUUUGAAAAUAUUUUGGGGAUAAAUGCCCAUACUGAAGAUCUCCUUAGAAACCCAUCCUAUGUCCAAGAGGCAAAAGAUAAGGGAUUGGUCAUAUUCUGCUGGGGUGAUGAUACCAAUGAUCCUGAAAACAGAAGGAAACUGAAGGAAUUUGGAGUAAAUGGUCUAAUAUAUGAUAGGUAUUUGUUUUUUGUAAAAAAUCUCCAUGGAAUUGUUCAAACAGUGUAGUUUUAUCUAUUUUAACUAUUUUAAAAUUAGAUAGUUUAGCCUAAAGUUUUAUCUUGACACUGUGACCUUUCCCAGGUGUUGAGAUAUGUCAAAAGCCACUUAAGAAGCCCUAACCCAAAUGUAUUUGCCUUGAAGUGAGGGUACUUGCCUGUCUCACUCCUGUCUGUCAAAACUUUUUCUGCAGUUGUCUUAGUUACAUUCUAUUGCUGUGAAGAAGUACUGUGAUCAAGGUGAAUUGUUUGCAGUUUUGGAGGGUGAGCCCAUGGCUGUCAUGGUGGGGAGUGUGGCAGAAGGCAGGCAUGGCACUGGAGUAGUUAGUAGCUGUCAGCUUACUUCUGAUCCACAAGCAGGAGUCAGAGAC